CGACGCUGAACCAUAGCCCUGUACAGACCCACCGCCACCCCUCUCCUCGGAAGAUGCACUGUGCUGUUUGAAAACAUGUAGCCGUUUCAGGCUAGAGUAUUUUAUAUAAAUAGAUGAGCUUAGGUCCUGAAGACCAAGGCGGAUAGAUGCAGCUAUGUGUAAAUUGUCUAUUUUUGUGAACUUCUCAAGCACGCAACUCCUGUCUCCCCCUGCCUUGUGGAGGGUUUGGAUGUUCCCCUGUCAUCUGCAAGAGUCCAGAGGUUGGGGUGACAAUAGGAAGUGAAAAUAAGCUAUGUGUAGUCUCGGAGAGUUCCCACCUCCCAGGGAGUGAAACAUACUGCAAUGCCAGGUACUUGGUUCCCUGUGGACUGUGUGGAAACUGGAUUUUCUCUUUUCUAUAUUGAAUACCCUUUGAGAUUUGUGGGACAUGGGUCCACAUGGAUUUAGUGACAGAGCAGAGUUCCUUCAAGAACUCUUGGAGAGGGGCCACAUCUGAGGAGACAGGCAAGAAUCUAAUCACUGCUCGAUGCCCGGUAAGCUGGAGAGCUCCGACUGCUGCCAGACAACCGGCCGGCACUCUGACUUUGGGAGGAGUGGCCCUUGAGGCUCUACCUCUGAUUGCAUCACUGUGCAUGACUGCAAGCUAGCAGGGGACACUCCCUUGCAUGUUCCCUCCUGUCCAGAUGGCCUGCUAGAUAGAGAACAGGCCCUUCAGAAGGCAUUAGGUGUCUGGAAGUGAGCUAAGAAGGACAGUGGGAUGGUGAGCCCCUUACAGAUGGAUAAGUACCAGUGUCUCUUUGGUUCACCUUGCCUUCAGAUGUCCCUGGUGGGACAGCACAACUAGCAGGACCCUAGGCCCCUGAUUCCAGACCCAUCUCCUAUGUUAACUCCCUGUCCCAUAAAGAAGGCUAUGGUGUGUUCCUGAGAAUCUUUCCUUCAGUGGAGAGGUGAGGGUCCCCUCAGGAGAGAGACUCAGACACAUAUCUAAGUUGAAUAUCAUCCCCAUUGCAGUUGUAAGAAUUGACUCUAAACUCUGCAGAAACUCCCUUCUGUUGGAUUGUAUCUCGACAUUCCUGUGAUGUCUUUCUUAGCUGGAGUGUGUGCUGCCUUUCAGGUACAACUUUUGUGUAAUAUAAGCCAGAGCAUUAAGUUUAUAUAGACUACUUUCUAUGCAAGACUGAGAUAGGGACAAGGUUGCAGGAAAUGUGCGCUGUUGGCUACACGGACAAGAAGUGCACUGUCAGAAUAGUAUCCCUGAACAGAGCGGAGGGAGGAUUAGUUGCAUGUGUUUCUGCCUACUUGUUUUGAGCAGCCAAUAAAUUUAAUCAUCAGAGCUGAGUGACAACCCAAGAAUGGUACUGGUUUCAUGUGUGAUGACUUCAAUGGGCUGAGCAUGAAUGCCAGAGUGGAGCAUCGUUACCCUCAGAGAGUCCAUGUCCCUCCUCGUUUAAAGACUCUUUUUUGAGACUUACUAAACACUUUAGGCAAAGUCAGAAGGAUCUGCAGCAAAAUAAAGGCCUGUUCUGCUCUUAUUUAAAGUGAAACACUGUGUACUUGCUUUUCUCCAAAGUAAAAUUAGGUUAUUUAUAACUUCAAUCGCCUUGGCUAGGUUUCCAAGUCACUGAUUUCUGCUGAAGAUUUUACUACAUUGUUGCACAAUUUUAAGAUAAUUUCUUUUGUCUUGGUGUCAAUCUUUUUCACUGGAUAAAAAUUUAACUGGGUUAAAGAAAAACAAUAAAAAAAAAAUAAAGACACCGCCAUCACCUAUUUAAAUAUCCACUGUGUGUGUCGUAAAGUUGUUCUUUUGAGUGCAAUAAAGAUAGCUUAACACAGUC
rnacentral:lncRNA from 1 species